rnacentral:rRNA from 1 species
GCGGCAGGCUUAUACAUGCAAGUCGAGGGGCAGCACUGGUAGCAAUACCUGGUGGCGACCGGCGGACGGGUGCGUAACACGUAUGCAACCUACCCUGUACAGGGGGAUAGCCCGAAGAAAUUCGGAUUAAUACCCCAUACGAUAAGAAUCGGCAUCGAUUUUUAUUGAAAGCUCCGGCGGUACAGGAUGGGCAUGCGCCCCAUUAGCUAGUUGGUGAGGUAACGGCUCACCAAGGCUACGAUGGGUAGGGGGCCUGAGAGGGUGAUCCCCCACACUGGAACUGAGACACGGUCCAGACUCCUACGGGAGGCAGCAGUAAGGAAUAUUGGUCAAUGGGCGCAAGCCUGAACCAGCCAUGCCGCGUGCAGGAAGACUGCCAUUAUGGUUGUAAACUGCUUUUAUAUGGGAAGAAACCUCCGGACGUGUCCGGAGCUGACGGUACCAUGUGAAUAAGGAUCGGCUAACUCCGUGCCAGCAGCCGCGGUAAUACGGAGGAUCCAAGCGUUAUCCGGAUUUAUUGGGUUUAAAGGGUGCGUAGGCGGCGUGUUAAGUCAGAGGUGAAAUUCGGCAGCUCAACUGUCAAAUUGCCUUUGAUACUGGCACACUUGAAUGCGAUUGAGGUAGGCGGAAUGUGACAUGUAGCGGUGAAAUGCUUAGAUAUGUGACAGAACACCGAUUGCGAAGGCAGCUUACNAGUCGUUAUUGACGCUGAGGCACGAAAGCGUGGGGAGCAAACAGGAUUAGAUACCCUGGUAGUCCACGCCGUAAACGAUGAUAACUCGACGUUAGCGAUACACUGUU